UCGGAAAAUUCCAAAAAGCUUAUCAAUUUCAGUUCUCUCUAGACUCUCACACACUCACAGCCCCUCUUUCUCUCUCUCUCUGUGAAGUUCUCUUCCAUCGGAUGUGGGUUUCAUACGUGACUGAACAAACAGUUCUCUCUCCAUCUCACGUUCUAGCGCGCAGCGAGUAAAGACUUGAAAGUUCUAGGAGAUGCAACUGAAGUGACUCAGGCAGCGGCUGAAGGGGCACCCAUCCCAGUCUUACAGCGAUACGUCCCACAUUUGUGUCCACCUGCGGAACAUCUCUCAACCAUUCAAGAUCAAUGCUCCCGUGAUCUCUAACCAGUCGGUUAAGGAAAUCCUGCACAUAUUUUCAGUGAA